rnacentral:rRNA from 1 species
AUUGAACGCUGGCGGCAUGCCUUACACAUGCAAGUCGAACGGCAGCGGACCUUCGGGUGCCGGCGAGUGGCGAACGGGUGAGUAAAGUAUCGGAACGUACCUUUCAGUGGGGGAUAACGUAGCGAAAGUUACGCUAAUACCGCAUAUUCUGUGAGCAGGAAAGCAGGGGAUCGCAAGACCUUGCGCUGAUUGAGCGGCUGAUAUCAGAUUAGCUAGUUGGUGAGGUAAAGGCUCACCAAGGCGACGAUCUGUAGCGGGUCUGAGAGGAUGAUCCGCCACACUGGAACUGAGACACGGUCCAGACUCCUACGGGAGGCAGCAGUGGGGAAUUUUGGACAAUGGGGGCAACCCUGAUCCAGCCAUGCCGCGUGAGUGAAGAAGGCCUUCGGGUUGUAAAGCUCUUUCGGCCGGGAAGAAAUCGCGCCAGUUAAUACCUGGUGUGGAUGACGGUACCGGAAUAAGAAGCACCGGCUAACUACGUGCCAGCCGCCGCCGUAACAC